rnacentral:lncRNA from 1 species
GGCAAAUGGACUGAGAAGAAAAGCAGCCAUGUUUGUAGGCUUUCUUUUGCUUCUUGAUCCAUCCUCAAGCCUCUGUGGUCUUUAAGCAGAACCUUGACCCCUUCACUACUGGGGCCCAUGGAGCAUGAAAUGCCCCCCCAAACUGUCUCAAAACACCCACACUAGUAGUUUCUUUUUGACACAAAAGACCUCUUAGUGAAUGCUGGCUUGUGAAAAAGAAGGGGUUGCUACCACCAAAUCAUGUCAGUAGAUGACCAAAAUACCCAAAGCAACUCAUGCAAAUAGAUUCAAGUCUCUCUGGACAAGGCUUCUGGAAGGCUCUAGAAUUUUUGAAGCUCAUUUUUGUAAGGGUCUUUCCAUCUGGUGGCCUUUUCUUUUGCAUCUCCUCUCCUCUUUCUCAUCAGAGGUAGAGGGAUGGGAGGAAGAGUAGUGCUUGGGCUCUCUGCCCUUUCUGUGUAGCGAGGAACCAGACUGCUGAGCAUGUGUGAAGCAGCAGGUGUGAUUUGGGAUAUUACUUUCUGUUACACCAAAUGGCCAGGCUCCAGAGAGGUCACUAGAAAUCGACCAGCGAGUAGGCAUUAUUUCAAAAUAGUUCUUGAUCAUGGGAUUAAAGAACCAACUAGUAUGUGUGCCCAUUUAAAAAAAAAAUUCUGCCAGAGAAUCCUACCUCACAUUUGGAAAGUUCCUGUUGAAUGUGGGCCCUUCCGAUUCACUUAUCCUUUCUUUCAGAAACACCCAAGGAAAGGAGGCCUUGCCUUUGAACCACUCUCCUACCCAACCUUCCUGCUUCUGUCUGACCUACCUUCCUUCUUCAGCAGCUAGGAUCCUUUAAAAGUGAGCACCAAAUGAUGGGGAUUCUUCAGCCACAAGUGUCCUCUGAAAUUCUAUCUUACUUAGAGUAAAAUCUCUAGAUUCAUACAGUGUUCCGUGUGUGGGUGGUGGCUUAUUUUUUCCUGCCAAUUUCUUGCUUGUUCACACUACUCUCCGCCUGGCUUUCUUAUGUCACAGAUUCCCUGAGUACACUCUGGCCUCAGUCUUUCCAUGAAGCAACUCCCUUUUCUAGAAAAUUCUUUCCCGCAUAACUCUCUGCUCUGUCCUCAUUAUAUUCUGAUCAGUAUUUGGAUGUCAAUUUCCAGUCAGGCCUUCUGUGCCCAACCUCUAAAGUGUGCUCUC